CUCACCCAACCACAGUGCUCUCUCUCCCCACACCUGCAGGAGGUGCCAGGGUACCAGCCAGGAUGGAGGUCAGGGGUAAAGGAUGAUGGACUGGCUGGGAAGACUGUCCUUCACACUGACAGUUGACAAACCCAGAAAGCAUGUGUGUUAGCAGAAAUAGGAGGCAGACCAUGAUGUGUCUCACUUAAGGGCACUGUGCAGCCAGGAGACCCUUUGACUUCGGGGGUGGAGGGAGUGUUUGCAAUUUCACCUUGCUGUCUGAGGUGUGGAGUCCUCGAUGCUCUAGGAUACCGUCAUGGUGGGAAGACCUAUGGGUGAGGCAGGAGGCAGCUCGCAGCAGAAUGACACGUCCCCUUUUUUGUUCAGUCUAGGACCUCAACCCAUGGAAGGUGCCACCCAAAUUCAGGAUCUCUUCGGUCCACUCUUAACUCUGGAGAUACCUCCAUAGACACACCCAAAGGGUCAUCUCCUAGGUGAUUCUAAAUCUAGCAAAGCUGACAAUACAAACUCACCUUGGUCACCUUGAUACCAAACACUUCUUUACAUCUGAGCAGCUUCUUGCUAGUUUGCACUCUGGGCCUUAAACUGCAUCCAUCAUAAUUACCAAGGACUAGCCAGGCAUGGUGGUGUAUGUCUUUUAUCCCAGAACCCAGGAAGCAGAGGGAGGCAGAUCUUCAAGUUCAAGGCUAGCUUGGUCUACAGAGUGAGUUCCAGGGCAUCCAGGGCUACAUAGAAAAACCUUGUCUUGAAAAACAAAACCAAAUAACAACAACAAAAACCCGCUAAGGACUAAUACUAUUCUGUAUGGUAAUGCUAUUAUCAGUACCUUUUGUUGUUGGGAUAAAAAGGACCACAAGGGCAACUUAUAGAAGGAAGGGUUGUUUAAGCAUAUGAUCCUGGAGGGCUGGAGUCCAUCCUGGCAGGGAGCGGUGGCAGAAGCAGCAGACAUGGCAGCAGGAUCAGGAAGUGGAGAAAUCGCAUCUUCAACAGUAACUACAAAGCAAGAAGAGCACACUGCGAGUGAGGGUUUUCCAGAAAUUCUUUGCCACUGUUCCUUGGCAGGAGACUACGGCAUCACAUGGCCAGUGACUGGUGCCUUCUGACUCACGGAAUGGAAAGAAACCACACAGAGAAGCACACAGGGCCUCUGUUGCCAGCCAGGGUGACCACAUGGAACGGGAGGUGAUUCAUCUGAGCCUGCCUGGCAUUGGCACUCGAAUACACUUGCCUGGAGCUGGGCAGUCAGCCCUUAAGUGAUGCGUGGGGUAUCCCCCUCCCAGGGCAGAGCAGCCCCUCCUAGGAGGAAUAAGUGGCUCUCUGCCUCUGUCCCAAGUGGCUGACAGAUGACCAAGGAGGUUGUAGGACAGCUCUGGGGACAGAGGUAAUUAGAUCAAGAAUCAGGGUUGGGGACUUCAGAGAAGAGGUAGACAGGUGGAAGCUGAGUGUGGCUGGGGUCCUUUGCUCCAAAUUCUUCAUCACACCUGG
rnacentral:lncRNA from 1 species